CAUGGACUGUAUACCCUACCAGAUGUCUCUCCGUGGAAUUUUCCAGGCAAGAAUGCUGGAGAAGCCACAGGCUGCUGCUGACCAGACUUGGCACGAGACCUUGAGGCUGCUGCUUUUCCCCCUACAUCAUAACCGAUUUCAAAUGGUGCUAGACAAAAACAGACUCUGAACACCAGGAGAAAUCGGUCAGCCUGUGUAAGAGAUGGGUCCGGUGGUGCUCAGUGGGGUCCACACCUUGAUGGUACAGGUGGCAAGUCUGAUUUCACCUACUCAGCAACUGCAGCUGAAUGUUCCACGGCGCGUAGGAGCAGGUGGACAGUGCUGGUGUGAUGAGAGAGUCCUUCCGGUCCACGGCCCUCCCACUGCCGACUGCGAUCACGUACCCAACCCAGUGCUGCCCAGUCACACACUGAAAGGCCCCACCAACAGGUUCCUGCUGGUGGCUGCUGCUACCUGUCCAUAGGAAGACCAUCACAAACCCUGGCUCUGCUCAAGCCUCUGAGUUUCUACUGAACACAGCCCCAUCCCUGCACUGUCCCCCUUUCCCAACCCAACAUGUUCAAGAAUAUACUUUUCUUCUCAAAUUCUUCUUUUCUUGAACCAGCUCAGUUGGCAGGAGAGGGGAGCUAGUCCCAGGGCAGCAGCUCCUCUGAAGGUGGCCUUUGGCUGUGCUGCAAUUCUUACUCCUAAAACACUGAUUUCAAAUGGUGCUAGAUACAAAGAUGGAAAAAUCUAAGCCACCAUGUGAAACCAGCUUCCAGAAGAAGAGGAUCUCACUGAAGAAAGGAGGGAGAUGCGAUCAGAAGACCCAGCCUUUGCCUGAGCAAAAAGAUGUCUUACUGCAGUUAUACUUGCCACGGGACAUAAGGGUCCCUUCAAAAGGCACAGAGAAGAGUUACAAAGUGAUGCUCAAAGAACAUGAAAGUCAAAGCUGGAAACAAGCACCCUUUCUGCCUGGGAGGCGCUGACGACUACACACAGGUGGGUUUCACCUGGACCAGGGCGACUCGCCCACAGACCCUGGUGAGGAAGACCACGGGCUCGCCCUUCCCCAUCACAGAUGAGCGGUCAGGACGUUCAAGUAUGACCCCGUAAGCCACCAAUCUUAUUCUCUACUGGGUCCUAAAAUUGUAUUAAGUAGACAACUCUCUAAUACAAGAAUGGACUUUUGUGUUCAAAUUCAGCUUGAAAAUAAGAUGUGCGCACAGGGUUCAAAUCAGACUUCCAUCUCCUAUGGGUGAAGCUAAGAAAGUAUGUCUGUAUUUCCUGAUACCAUAACCGAGAGAAAGAAGAGACAAAAUCUUUACCUCUCAGGUUCCCUACCAACUCUUCAAGACUCCAGAUAAAAACGUUGUUUUUUCUGCCUCCUGGAAAUAACGUGACGUGCUGCUCUAGGGAAGAGAAGGAAAUAAAAUGCGAACACCGAGCUGUGCUCUUCAAUUCUCACCACGAACCAGAGAUUAUUCCUGUUUUUGCAGAAGAAACUGAUCCUCAGUGUGGUUUAGAAACCUGUCCACAGUCACAUGACUGGUGAGCCGGGUCCAAGCUGGGUCUGACCCCAGCGUCUGCGCUCCUGCCCCUCUGCCCACCGCGCCUGCUUUGUGGUUUGCGACUGUCUCCCUCUGCCCUUGCCCCUGAUUAUGAGCAAGACUGAGGGCAGGUGGGAAUCCUAGGCAGUGCUUCUGCAUAGAUGGCGGGGUGUUGCUGACUGUCCAGCGUGUUAAACUUGGGU
ensembl:lncRNA